GAUGAACGCUGGCGGUAUGCUUAACACAUGCAAGUCGAACGCAGACUUUCGGGUCUGAGUGGCGGACGGGUGAGUAACGCGUGAGAAUCUGGCUUCAGGUUGGGGACAACCACGGGAAACGGUGGCUAAUACCCAAUGUGCCGAUAAGGUGAAAGAUUAAUUGCCUGAAGAUGAGCUCGCGUCUGAUUAGCUAGUUGGUGGGGUAAGAGCUCACCAAGGCGACGAUCAGUAGCUGGUCUGAGAGGACGAUCAGCCACACUGGGACUGAGACACGGCCCAGACUCCUACGGGAGGCAGUAGUGGGGAAUUUUCCGCAAUGGGCGAAAGCCUGACGGAGCAAUACCGCGUGAGGGAGGAAGGCUCUUUGGGUGUAAACCUCUUUUCUCAGGGAAGAAGGCAAUGACGGUACCUGAGGAAUCAGCAUCGGCUAACUCCGUG
rnacentral:rRNA from 1 species